CAGUCGCCACGGUAAUACGUAGGUCCCGAGCGUUGUCCGGAUUUAUUGGGCGUAAAGCGAGCGCAGGCGGUUUGAUAAGUCUGAAGUUAAAGGCUGUGGCUCAACCAUAGUUCGCUUUGGAAACUGUCAAACUUGAGUGCAGAAGGGGAGAGUGGAAUUCCAUGUGUAGCGGUGAAAUGCGUAGAUAUAUGGAGGAACACCGGUGGCGAAAGCGGCUCUCUGGUCUGUAACUGACGCUGAGGCUCGAAAGCGUGGGGAGCGAACAGGAUUAGAUACCCCGGUAGUCCCUGUCUCUUAUACA
rnacentral:rRNA from 1 species